UCAAGCUAGAAAGAGCGCAGGGUGGAUGCCUUGGCAUUAGGAGCCGAAGAAGGACGUGAUAAGCUGCGAAAAGCUGCGGUGAGGCGCAAAUAGCCUAAGACCCGCAGAUAUCCGAAUGGGGGAACCCGGCCGGAGCAAUAUCCGGUCACCGUAUAGUAAAUCCAUAGCUAUGCGGGGGAAUACCCGCUGAACUGAAACAUCUAAGUAGGCGGAGGAAAAGAAAGAAACAUCGAUUCCCUAAGUAGUGGCGAGCGAAAGGGGAAAAGGCCAAACCAGGGGUAGAAAUACCUUUGGGGUUGAGGACUGAAGACGGCAUCACAGGAGCUAGCAGAACUACCUGGAAAGGUAGACCACAGGGGGUAAAAGUCCCGUAUGCGAAAGCAAAAGUGAGCCAUCAGGAUCCGGAGUACCAUCGGGCACGUGAAAUCCGGUGGGAAGCAGGGAGGACCACCUCCCAAGCCUAAAUACUACCUAAUGACCGAUAGAGGAAAGUACCGUGAGGGAAAGGUGAAAAGAACCCCGGGAGGGGAGUGAAAGAGAACCUGAAACCCUGUGUUUACAAGCAGACAAAGCACAUUUAAGUGCGAUGUCGUACUUUUUGUAGAACGGUCCGGCGAGUGUAUGUAUGCAGCGAGGUUAAGGUGUUAAGCACCGAAGCCGUAGGGAAACCGAGUGUGAAGAGCGCGUAAAGUUGCAUGCAUACGACCCGAAACCGGGUGACCUACCCAUGGACAGGAUGAAGCGGGAGUAAAGUCUCGUGGAGGUCCGAACCCACCACUGUUGAAAAAGUGGGGGAUGAGCUGUGGGUAGCGGAGAAAUUCCAAUCGAACUCGGAGAUAGCUGGUUCUCCCCGAAAUAGCUUUAGGGCUAGCCUCGGAUUAAUCUUAUGGAGGUAAAGCACUGAAUGGGCUAGGGGCCUUAUCCGGUUACCGAACCCUAUCAAACUCUGAAUGCCAUAGAGAUGAUGUCCGGGAGUCAGACUAUGGGAGAUAAGUUUCAUAGUCAAAAGGGAAACAGCCCAGACCAACAGCUAAGGUCCCCAAAUAGGUUUAAGUGGUAAAGGAUGUGGAGUUGCUAAAACAACCAGGAUGUUGGCUUAGAAGCAGCCAUUCAUUCAAAGAGUGCGUAAUAGCUCACUGGUCGAGUGAUUCUGCGCCGAAAAUGUAACGGGGCUAAAACCUAUACCGAAGCUUUGGAUACGCAAGUAUGGUAGGGGAGCUUUCUAUGGUAGGCAGAAGCAUGACCGAAAGGACAUGUGGACGAGAUAGAAGUGAGAAUGCCGGAAUGAGUAGCGAGAAUUAUGUGAGAAUCAUAAUCGUCGAAAGCCUAAGGUUUCUUGAGGAAGGUUCGUCCGCUCAAGGUAAGUCGGGAGCUAAGGCGAGGCCGGAAGGCGUAGUCGAUGCACAUACGGUUGAAAUUCCGUAACCACCGAAGCCGAAAAGUAUGCAAGGGACGCAGGAAGAUAGUCUGACCACACCGUUGGUAGAGUGUGGCGAAAGGGAGCGAAAACAAGUAGCGAAGCAGAUGAAUCUACACUGACAAGAAAAGCUUGCAUAUUGGUGAGGUGCCCGUACCGCAAACCGACACAGGUAGGUGAGGAGAGAAUCCUAAGACGAACGGGAGAAGCGUUGUUAAGGAACUCGGCAAAUUGACCCCGUAACUUCGGGAGAAGGGGUGCCUGGGAGACCAGGCCGCAGAGAAUAGGCCCAAGCGACUGUUUAGCAAAAACACAGGUCUCUGCUAAGUCGAAAGACGACGUAUAGGGGCUGACGCCUGCCCGGUGCUGGAAGGUUAAGGGGAAAGGUUAGCGAAGAGCGAAGCUUUGAACUUAAGCCCCAGUAAACGGCGGCCGUAACUAUAACGGUCCUAAGGUAGCGAAAUUCCUUGUCAGGUAAGUUCUGACCCGCACGAAUGGCGUAACGACUUGGGCACUGUCUCAACAGCGCGCCCGGCGAAAUUGUAGUACCAGUGAAGAUGCUGGUUACCCGCGACUAGACGGAAAGACCCCAUGGAGCUUUACUGCAGCCUGAUAUUGGAUUUUGGUAUUUCAUGUACAGGAUAGGUGGGAGACUAAGAAAUAUGCACGCCAGUGUAUAUGGAGUCGACGUUGGGAUACCACUCUUGAGAUACCGAAAUUCUAACCAGUACCCGUAAGCCGGGUAUGGGACACUGUCAGGUGGGCAGUUUGACUGGGGCGGUCGCCUCCUAAAAGGUAACGGAGGCGCUCAAAGGUUAGCUCAGCGCGGUCGGAAAUCGCGCAAAGAGUGUAAACGCAAAAGCUAGCCUAACUGCGAGACGGACAGGUCGAGCAGUAACGAAAGUUGGAGUUAGUGAUCCGGCGGUAAGAGAGUGGAAUUGCCGUCGCUCAACGGAUAAAAGCUACCCUGGGGAUAACAGGCUUAUCUCCCCCAAGAGUCCACAUCGACGGGGAGGUUUGGCACCUCGAUGUCGGCUCAUCGCAUCCUGGAGCUGAAGUAGGUUCCAAGGGUUGGGCUGUUCGCCCAUUAAAGCGGUACGCGAGCUGGGUUCAGAACGUCGUGAGACAGUUCGGUCCCUAUCUGUCGCGGGCGCAGGAAAUUUGAAGGGAGCUGUCCUUAGUACGAGAGGACCGGGAUGGACGCACCACUGGUGCACCAGUUGUACUGCCAAGUGCACAGCUGGGUAGCUAAGUGCGGCAGGGAUAAACGCUGAAGGCAUCUAAGCGUGAAGCCCCCCCUAAGAUAAGAUUUCCCAUAGCAAAAGCUAGUAAGGUCCCAUGAAGACUACAUGGUAGAUAGGUCAAAGGUGUAAGUGCAGUAAUGCACUCAGCUGAUUGAUACUAAUAGACCGAGGGCUUGACCAA
rnacentral:rRNA from 1 species